GAACUGAAGAGUUUGAUCAUGGCUCAGAUUGAACGCUGGCGGCAGGCCUAACACAUGCAAGUCGAGCGGAUGAAGGGAGCUUGCUCCUGGAUUCAGCGGCGGACGGGUGAGUAAUGCCUAGGAAUCUGCCUGGUAGUGGGGGAUAACGUCCGGAAACGGGCGCUAAUACCGCAUACGUCCUGAGGGAGAAAGUGGGGGAUCUUCGGACCUCACGCUAUCAGAUGAGCCUAGGUCGGAUUAGCUAGUUGGUGGGGUAAAGGCCUACCAAGGCGACGAUCCGUAACUGGUCUGAGAGGAUGAUCAGUCACACUGGAACUGAGACACGGUCCAGACUCCUACGGGAGGCAGCAGUGGGGAAUAUUGGACAAUGGGCGAAAGCCUGAUCCAGCCAUGCCGCGUGUGUGAAGAAGGUCUUCGGAUUGUAAAGCACUUUAAGUUGGGAGGAAGGGCAGUAAGUUAAUACCUUGCUGUUUUGACGUUACCAACAGAAUAAGCACCGGCUAACUUCGUGCCAGCAGCCGCGGUAAUACGAAGGGUGCAAGCGUUAAUCGGAAUUACUGGGCGUAAAGCGCGCGUAGGUGGUUCAGCAAGUUGGAUGUGAAAUCCCCGGGCUCAACCUGGGAACUGCAU
rnacentral:rRNA from 1 species